rnacentral:misc_RNA from 1 species
GACCCUCCAAUGCACCUCUUCUAGGGAAUCUUCAAACCCCUUUGUGGAGCAAGCAAUACAGUAUGCUGUAGCUGCGUGUAAUGUGAUAUUUGCCGAGAAGGAAAAGAAGGAUGCAUUGCAUAAACUACUUUUGCAAGGUCUUGAUAUUACUGUUUUGGGUUGCAAUGAUUUCUACUCAUAUCGAAAUCAGAUUGAAGCACGUGGUCUGCCAUUGACACCG